UACGUAGGGUGCAAGCGUUAUCCGGAAUUAUUGGGCGUAAAGAGCGCGUAGGCGGUUUGUCGCGUCUGCUGUGAAAACUGGGGGCUCAACCCCCAGCCUGCAGUGGGUACGGGCAGACUAGAGUGCGGUAGGGGAGAUUGGAAUUCCUGGUGUAGCGGUGGAAUGCGCAGAUAUCAGAAGGAACACCGAUGGCGAAGGCAGAUCUCUGGGCCGUAACUGACGCUGAGGAGCGAAAGCAUGGGGAGCGAACAGG
rnacentral:rRNA from 1 species